CUUGGAAUCGUCUUAGGCCUAAUUCCUAUUACUUUAGCGGGAUUAUUCGUGACUGCGUAUUUGCAAUACAUGCAUGGGGAUCAGUUGGAUCUUUGUUCCUUUUCCCUGUUGUACCUUAUGCAUCACCAUGAAUGA
rnacentral:rRNA from 1 species